rnacentral:rRNA from 1 species
AUUGAACGCUGGCGGAAUGCUUUACACAUGCAAGUCGAACGGUAGAGGGGGCAACCCCUCGAGAGUGGCGAACGGGUGAGUAAUGUAUCGGAACGUGCCCAGUCGUGGGGGAUAACGUAGUGAAAAUUACGCUAAUACCACAUACGAUCUAUGGAUGAAAGCGGGGGAUCGCAAGACCUCGCGCGGUUGGAGCGGCGGAAAUCAGAUUAGGUAGUUGGUGGGGUAAAGGCCCACAAAGCCAACGAUCUGUAGCUGGUCUGAGAGGACGACCAGCCACACUGGAACUGAGACACGGUCCAGACUCCUACGGGAGGCAGCAGUGGGGAAUUUUGGACAAUGGGCGAAAGCCUGAUCCAGCCAUUCCGCGUGCAGGAUGAAGGCCCUCGGGUUGUAAACUGCUUUUGUACAGAACGAAAAGGUUUCUACUAAUACUAGGAGCUCAUGACGGUACUGUAAGAAUAAGCACCGGCUAACUACGUGCCAGCCGCCGCGGUAA